rnacentral:guide_RNA from 1 species
AUAUACUAACAGUGGAAUAGCUCAGUGGGUGAAUGAUUGUGAUAU